rnacentral:tRNA from 1 species
GUCCGCGUAGCUCAGCAGGAUAGAGCACAGGAUUCCUAAGGUUUUGAAUUGGGCGCCAUGAUGGGAAACCGCAUGGUGGAUUCGCUCAAAUUCGGGGAACGCUCUGAUCAUCUCGAUCGUGCCAAUCCCGAGCCAAGCUUUCCGGCGUGCCGGCAAGAAGGUGUAGAGACUGUACGGGCGACACCUUGGCUUUCUGGCCAUGGUGAAGAGACAGUCCAGACCACGAACAUGCUUCCGGGCAUGGCGGUGAAAACCGAAGUGGUAUGAAUCCUGGGGCCGGAGGUUCGAAUCCUCUCGCGGACACCA